AGGGUUCGAUUCUGGCUCAGGAUGAACGCUGGCGGCGUGCUUAACACAUGCAAGUCGAACGGGAUCCAGGCAGCUUGCUGCCUGGUGAGAGUGGCGAACGGGUGAGUAAUGCGUGACCGACCUGCCCCAUACACCGGAAUAGCUCCUGGAAACGGGUGGUAAUGCCGGAUGCUCCGACUCCUCGCAUGGGGUGUCGGGAAAGAUUAUAUCGGUAUGGGAUGGGGUCGCGUCCUAUCAGGUAGUCGGCGGGGUAACGGCCCACCGAGCCUACGACGGGUAGCCGGCCUGAGAGGGCGACCGGCCACAUUGGGACUGAGAUACGGCCCAGACUCCUACGGGAGGCAGCAGUGGGGAAUAUUGCACAAUGGGCGCAAGCCUGAUGCAGCGACGCCGCGUGCGGGAUGACGGCCUUCGGGUUGUAAACCGCUUUUGAUCGGGAGCAAGCCUUCGGGUGAGUGUACCUUUCGAAUAAGCACCGGCUAACUACGUGCCAGCAGCCGCGGUAAUACGUAGGGUGCAAGCGUUAUCCGGAAUUAUUGGGCGUAAAGGGCUCGUAGGCGGUUCGUCGCGUCCGGUGUGAAAGUCCAUCGCUUAACGGUGGAUCUGCGCCGGGUACGGGCGGGCUGGAGUGCGGUAGGGGAGACUGGAAUUCCCGGUGUAACGGUGGAAUGUGUAGAUAUCGGGAAGAACACCAAUGGCGAAGGCAGGUCUCUGGGCCGUUACUGACGCUGAGGAGCGAAAGCGUGGGGAGCGAACAGGAUUAGAUACCCUGGUAGUCCACGCCGUAAACGGUGGAUGCUGGAUGUGGGGCCCGUUCCACGGGUUCCGUGUCGGAGCUAACGCGUUAAGCAUCCCGCCUGGGGAGUACGGCCGCAAGGCUAAAACUCAAAGAAAUUGACGGGGGCCCGCACAAGCGGCGGAGCAUGCGGAUUAAUUCGAUGCAACGCGAAGAACCUUACCUGGGCUUGACAUGUUCCCGA
rnacentral:rRNA from 1 species